rnacentral:rRNA from 1 species
AGGAUUAACGCUGGCGGCGUGCCUAACACAUGCAAGUCGAACGAGGUAGCAAUACCUAGUGGCAGACGGGUGAGUAGCGCGUGGUCAACCUACCGUUGAGUGGGGGAUAACUAGCCGAAAGGUUAGCUAAUACCGCAUACGUCUCCGAGGGGCAUCCCUUGGCGAUAAAAGGAGCAAUCCGCUCGAUGACGGGACCGCGUCCCAUUAGCUAGUUGGUGGGGUAACGGCCUACCAAGGCAUCGAUGGGUAGCUGGUUUGAGAGAGCGACCAGCCACACUGGGACUGAGAUACGGCCCAGACUCCUACGGGAGGCAGCAGUGAGGAAUUUUCCGCAAUGGGCGAAAGCCUGACGGAGCGACGCCGCGUGUGGGAAGAAGGCCUUCGGGUCGUAAACCGACUGUCGAAGGGGAAGAUAAUGACGGUACCCUUGGAGGAAGCCCCGGCUAACUACGCGCCAGCAGCCGC